rnacentral:rRNA from 1 species
UACAGAGGGGGCGAGCGUUAUUCGGAAUUAUUGGGCGUAAAGGGCGCGUAGGCGGCUUUUCAAGUGACGGGUGAAAUCCCUCGGCUUAACCGAGGAACUGCCUGUCAGACUGGAAGGCUUGAGACCGGGAGAGGUGAGUGGAAUUCCCAGUGUAGCGGUGAAAAUGCGUAGAUAUUGGGAGGAACACCAGUGGCGAAGGCGGCUCACUGGACCGGAACUGACGCUGAGGCGCGAAAGCGUGGGGAGCAAACAGG